CCUCCUCCCUCAUUACCUCAUCUGGCACUGCCAGGACCUGGUCUGUUUCAUAUGUGCAAAUACCCUAUAAGAAGUUGUAGACUACUAUGAAUCAUCCCUCGGCCUCCUCUUUAGCAGAUUAAACAAGCUCAGUUCUCUCAGCUGCCCCUCUUUGGCCAGGUGCUGAAGGCCUCCAAUUGUCUCAGCAGUGCUGGGCUGUUCUCUCCCCAGUUUAUUCAAAUCCAUCCUGUACUGGAAGGUCAAAACCAAACACAGUACUCCAGGUGAAGCCUUGCUGGUACACUCAAUUACCCCGUAUAUCUAGGGGCAUGCAGGGCAUGUAAUUUGCCUCCUUGUCCCAACAACCCAAACUCUCUUUGGAGAUGCAGUAAUUUUUCUUUUCUGUUACAUCUGGCUACAGUUUGAGGACAGGAGAUGCUUUGGUGUUUAUGUCAUGAGCGGAGGUGGUGACAAGAAUAAAGACGUGCACAGAUGCACACAUGCUCACAACAGACACAGAAGUGUUGGUGUUGGACAGAAGCUGAAGUAAAAAACACAUACGUGCACCUUCUGUGAGAUCCACGUAAGCCGAAAAUCCCCAGAGGAGCGUUGAUAGUGAAAGGACAGUAACCUUCUCUUUAGCUUAAGACAGUUUUCAGAUGCACUGUUGCUAGUUGCUGCCAAUCCAAAUGGGGUGCUGGGCAGCAGCCCUCUCCGUUGUCUUUCUGCUACAGUCUCAAGGAAGAUCUGUCCCGUGGAGCCUCCCCCCACCUGACCUUACCAGGUGUAUUCCCUUUAUAGUGGGAGAAGAACAGCAAGGGCUUGCAGAGAGUGCUUCAUCUGAAGGGUAUCAUGGAGCUCCCCUGGACUGAGCCACCUGCUGAUGAACCUUCUCUCAGUGUUCAACCCGAAGGCAGCGCUGGAGCUCAGAACUGCCAGAUUCCCUGAGCAGCAUAACUCCCUUGAAGAAAGCUUCUCACCCACGGUAUGGCUCAGGCAGUUUCACUCGGCCGUGCCAGCUCCAGCCUGGGAUCUUGCAAGAAGAGCAGGACAGACGGGCAGGCAGGAUGUGACAGACUUUUCAGGGCACUGCCAACCAAGAUCCUUUGCCACCUAGUGUAAUGGACACAGAAAAAAUGGGGCAUGGGAAAAGUGUGACUGGUCAAAAUAUCCUCGCCGUACUUUCAGAAUGGAAAUGCUGAUCCCAGCCUGGGCUCGGAUUCAGUCCUACCCAGACAGAAGACACUCAGCUAUGGAUAUAGCAUAAGGUCUGGCAUUUCUCCUUUCAUACAGUACUGCCUUAAUCUCCAUGAGGACAUCUGCAUUCUCAGCAGGACAGGGUCAUCUCCCACGAGUCGCUUGUGUUGCCCCAUGAAGCAGUAAAGCUGGCUCUCCUUAGAUUCAUAAAUGAUCAAGCUUGAAAGGAGCACAGCAGCCACCACAUCUGACCUCUGGUGUCAAACAAGGCUAAAGAGUUUCUUGUGCCUCAAGCCCAAUGACUUGCGGUUGGUUUGAGUCUCUGAUGUGCUUACAGCCUGAGAUGAUAUGGCAACUUGCCAGUCCUUUUCCAAAUUUAUUCAGGCAUCUUCAAUUCUUUACAUGUGAUAUGACAAGACACGUUUCUGUAUGACAAGGCACGCAAUGAGAGCAGAGGUACUCCAAGCAUUACAUUUGCAGGCAUGCCCCAUCUACAACAAUUAUUUAAUUACUGGAGAAAUUGUGUGUACCAACUCCAUGUAAUACACACUGAAAACUCUGGCUGGGUCUGAACCAUAAAUAAUGUAAUUAACUCCACUUGAUGAGGCAGAAACAAAGUCAUGAAAAAAAUCAAGUCAUAUAUUAAAAAUGCUACCGUGGGCAUAAUAAACUCAUCAGAAAACACUGAGUGCA
rnacentral:lncRNA from 1 species